CUAUUAGUAUAGGUUGGCACAAAAGUAAUUGUGGCUUUUGCCAAUUACUUUCGCACUAACCUAAAGUUACUGU
rnacentral:miRNA from 10 species